rnacentral:rRNA from 1 species
GGGAGGCAGCAGUGGGGAAUAUUGCACAAUGGGCGCAAGCCUGAUGCAGCCAUGCCGCGUGUGUGAAGAAGGCCUUCGGGUUGUAAAGCACUUUCAGCGGGGAGGAAGGCGAUAAGGUUAAUAACCUCAUCGAUUGACGUUACCCGCAGAAGAAGCACCGGCUAACUCCGUGCCAGCAGCCGCGGUAAUACGGAGGGUGCAAGCGUUAAUCGGAAUUACUGGGCGUAAAGCGCACGCAGG